rnacentral:tRNA from 2 species
GCAGUCGUGGCCGAGUGGUUAAGGCGACGGACUAGAAAUCCAUUGGGGUCUCCCCGCACAGGUUCGAAUCCUGUCUACUAUG